GUACUCUGUUUUUAAACCAAUGUUCUACCCAAGAACAAUCAUUUCCAUCUAGACCGAUUUCCUUGAGUUUGAACACUAAUCUGUUGUGUGGAACUGUAUCAAAUGCCUUGGCAAAAUCCAAAUAGAUCACAUCCACUGCAACACCCUGAUCUAUACUUCUACUUACUUCUUCGUAGAAUGCAAUCAAGUUAGUUUAACAUGACCUGUGCUUCAUAAAACCCUGCUGAUUUUUGCU